UGGGGAAUUUUGCACAAUGGGGGAAACCCUGAUGCAGCGACGCCGCGUGAUUUAGAAGGCCUUCGGGUUGUAAAAAUCUUUUGUAUGGGAAGAAAAUGACAGUACCAUACGAAUAAGGACCGGCUAAUUACGUGCCAGCAGCCGCGGUAAUACGUAAGGUCCGAGCGUUGUCCGGAAUCAUUGGGCGUAAAGGGUACGUAGGCGGAUAAGCAAGUUAGAAGUGAAAUCCUAUAGCUCAACUAUAGUAAGCUUUUAAAACUGCUCAUCUUGAGGUAUGGAAGGGAAAGUGGAAUUCCUAGUGUAGCGGUGAAAUGCGUAGAGAUUAGGAGGAACACCGGUGGCGAAAGCGGCUUUUUGGCCUGCAACUGACACUGAGGCGCGAAAGCGUGGGGAGCAAACAGG
rnacentral:rRNA from 1 species